rnacentral:tRNA from 1 species
GGAACUGUGCCUGAAUUUCUAAGGGCUACUUUGAUAGAGUAAACCAUAAGGGUUAAAAUCCCUUCAGUUCCU